AUUGAACGCUGGCGGCAGGCCUAACACAUGCAAGUCGAACGAGUGGCGGACGGGUGAGUAAUGUCUGGGAAACUGCCCGAUGGAGGGGGAUAACUACUGGAAACGGUAGCUAAUACCGCAUACCAUCGGAUGUGCCCAGAGGGGAUUAGCCAGUAGGGGGGGUAACGGCUCACCUAGGCGACGAUCCCUAGCUGGUCUGGGAAGAUGACCAGCCACACUGGAGCUGAGACCCGGUCCAGACUCCUUCGGGAGGCAGCGGUGGGGAAUCUUGCACAAUGGGCGCAAGCCGGAUGCAGCCAUGCCGCGUGUAUGAAGAAGGCCUUCGGAUUGUAAAGUACUUUCAGCGAGGAGGCGUUACUCGCAGAAGAAGCGCCGGCUAACUCCGUGCCAGCAGCCGCGGUAAUAC
rnacentral:rRNA from 1 species